UACGUAGGAUGCGAGCGUUGUCCGGAAUUACUGGGCGUAAAGAGCGCGUAGGCGGCGCUGUACGACCGUUGUGAAAGCCCCCGGCUCAACUGGGGAGGGUCAAUGGUAACGGCAGUGCUUUGAGUGCAGGAGAGGGAAGUGGAACUCCGGGAGUAGCGGUGAAAUGCGUAGAGACCCGGAGGAACACCAGUGGCGAAGGCGGCUUCCUGGUCUGCGACUGACGCUGUGGCGCGAAAGCUAGGGGAGCGAACGG
rnacentral:rRNA from 1 species